GCAAUUUGUGACACUCUCACGUGCCUGAGCCCUCACAUCUUUUAUGGCUUUAUCUGCAGCUUUCCUCGGAAGUGUUCAAGGCCAGGCUGGAGCAACCUGAGAUAGAGGAAGGUGUCCCUGACCAUGGCAGGGGGUAGGACAAGAUGAGGUUUAAGGUCCCUUCCAACCCAAACCAUUCUGUGAUUCCAUGAUAUUCCCAGUAUCUGGACACCAAGGGUAUUUCUCCAUAACCUCAGGAAAUUAAGGCUGAAUAAACCUGUACCUCCCAGCAGCCAGGUUCCACAGCAUUGUGACAAAACAGAGGCGUGGAAUUGGUGUGUGUUUCAAUAAAUGCUCCACACAAAGCAAAGGCUUCACACCUGAGUGAAGCUCAGGGUCUUCUCCCACAUUUCCUCACCCCUGUAUUCCCAUCUCCUCUAGGCCACUCUUCAGGCCUGCCCCAAGAUGGUUCUGCAGAGAAAGUCCCCGAAUUUGAAUUAAAACAGAAGAGUCAGCAGGAGGAGAAAGUGCAAGCUAAGUGCAAGAUAUUUCUUUUGCUUUCAGUUGCUGCAUUAAGGACAAGAAGCCAAGAGGAAAAUUUUAAAUAAACACUAGGA
rnacentral:lncRNA from 12 species